UAAAAACUUCUCUAUUCUCCCUGGGUAGUGGGGCCAGUAUUUGGUAACCCUUGAUUUCGUCCUUGCCCUGGGACUGUGUCAGUGGCAGCUAUCACUCAAUGGGACAGAG
rnacentral:snoRNA from 1 species